CUCCUACGGGAGGCAGCAGUGGGGAAUAUUGGACAAUGGGCGAAAGCCUGAUCCAGCCAUGCCGCGUGUGUGAAGAAGGUCUUCGGAUUGUAAAGCACUUUAAGUUGGGAGGAAGGGCAGUAAAUUAAUACUGUGCAAUUUGACGUACCGACAGA
rnacentral:rRNA from 1 species